GACUCCACGAAGUUGGAUUCGCUAGUAAUCGCGCAUCAGCCAUGGCGCGGUGAAUACGUUCCCGGGCCUUGUACACACCGCCCGUCAAGCCAUGGGAGCCGGGGGCGCCUGAAGUCCGGGACCGCGAGGACCGGCCUAGGGCGAAACUGGUAACUGGGGCUAAGUCGUAACAAGGUAGC
rnacentral:rRNA from 1 species